CGCGCAGGCGGUGAUUUAAGCAGGAUGUGAAAGUCUACGGCUCAACCGUAGACAUGCACCCUGAACUGGGUCACUUGAGUAUUGGAGAGGCAGGCAGAAUUCCUGGUGUAGCGGUGAAAUGCGUAGAUAUCAGGAGGAAUACCGGAGGCGAAGGCGGCCUGCUGGACAAAUACUGACGCUGAGGCGCGAAAGCGUGGGGAGCAAACA
rnacentral:rRNA from 1 species